UACGUAGGCAGCAAGCGUUGUUCGGAAUUACUGGGCGUAAAGAGUGUGUAGGCGGUGCUCUAAGUUCGGUGUGAAAUCUCCUGGCUUAACUGGGAGGGUGCGCCGGAAACUGGAGUGCUCGAGCGUGGGAGAGGAAAGCGGAAUUCCUGGUGUAGCGGUGAAAUGCGUAGAUAUCAGGAGGAACACCGGUGGCGAAGGCGGGUCUCUGGGCCGAUACUGACGCUGAGGAGCGAAAGCGUGGGGAGCGAACAGG
rnacentral:rRNA from 1 species